AUUUUUUGGGGGAUUUUUUGGGGUUGUUUUUGAUAUUUUAGGGAUUUUUGCGGGAUUUUUUGGGAUUUUUUGGGGGAUUUUUGGGGGUGGAUUUUCGGGGUUUUUUGGGGGUGAUUUUGGGGUUUUUUUGGGGGGGAUUUUGGGGUUUUUUGGGUUUUUUUGGGGAGGUUUUGAGAGGAUUUGGGGAGAUUUUUUUGAGGUUUUUUGGGGUUUUUUUGCGGGGAUUUUUUGAUUUUUUGGGAGUUUUAUUGAGGGGAUUUUGGGGUUUUUUUGAGUGGUUUUUUUGGGGUUUUUUUUGGGUUUUUUUGAGGGGAUUUGGGGGGAUUUUUGGGAAUUUUUGGGGGUUUUUUGCGGGGAUUUUGGGGGAUUUUUCUGGAUUUUUGUGGGGGGAUUUUCAGGGAUUUUUGGGAGUUUUUUUUGAGGGGAGUUUUGGGGAUUUUUUGGGUUUUUUUGGUUUUUUUGUGGGGAUUUGACGGGAUUUUUGGGGGUUUUUUUUUGGGUUUUUUUGAGGGGAUUUUGGGGUUUUUUUUGAGGGGUUUUGAGGGGAUUUUUGGGGUUUUUUAAAGUUUUUUUGAGGGGAUUUUUUGGGAUUUUUUUUUGUUUUUUGGGGGGAAUUUUAGGGGAUUUUGGGGUUUUUUUGAAGUUUUUUUAAGGGGAUUUUUGGGGUUUUUUGGGUGGAUUUUUGGGGUUUUUUGGGGGUGUUUUAGGGGAUUUUUUUGGGUUUUUUUGAGGGGAUUUUGGGGUUUUGGGGUUUUUUUUUGGGUUUUUUUAAGAGGAUUUUGGGGUUUUUUUGGGGGGGAUUUUGGGGUUUUUUGGGUUUUUUUGGGGAGGUUUUGAGAGGAUUUGGGGAGAUUUUUUUGAGGUUUUUUGGGGUUUUUUUGCGGGGAUUUUUGGAUUUUUUUUGAGUUUUAUUGAGGGGAUUUUGGGGUUUUUUUGAGUGGUUUUUUUGGGGGUUUUUUUGGGUUUUUUUGAGGGGAUUUGGGGGGAUUUUUGGGAAUUUUUGGGGUUUUUUUGCGGU
rnacentral:lncRNA from 1 species